UGGGAAACAAAAUCAAAGAGAGGAUUUCUGAUCGGGUGGAAGGAAAGAAUAUUAACUGGCAAAAUUCUUCAUGGUACGAAAGGGAAAGAAAAUGAUAAUGAGUAUAGUAAAGAACUGGAGAUGUAUUCAGGCUCUGUUCACAAGCUUCUAUCAUCACAAUGCUGCAAGAUAACUCUGUGUAGAUUUUAUUGGCUGGAAUUCAGACCGUUGACCUGUGUCCUGGAUGGCUGCCAACAAUGCUGUUAGAGCUGAGUUAGACUAUCUCCCUAAAGGGAUGGAUGUGCUGUUCCAACGGAACACCCAUGGGAUCUCCGAUAUCAGGGUUCUUAGCAGAGGCUGUAAUGCAGAGACUCAAACAUACCGGUCUGCCAACCAUCCAACCCAAACUUUGGGUCUGCUAUGUGGAUGAUACUUCUGUUAUCACUAAACGAAACAAAUUAGAGGAAACCUUCAAGACCAUCAAUAAUACCCUUACUGGCAUAAAAUUCACUAAAGAGGAGGGAAACAACAAAAAACUGCCAUUCUUAGAUGUCAUAGUAGAGCAAACAGCAAAUGGGGAACUUCAAACCAGCGUCUACAGGAAAACAACAUAUACUGACCAAAUAUUGAACUACAGAAAACAAUCAUCCCAACACUCAUAAACGAAGCUGCAUCAGAACAUUAUUUCAAUGAGCUAACACACGCUGUAGCACAGAGGAACUACGCAGAGCAGGGAAAAAUCACCUAUACCGUGUAUUCAAAAAUAAUGGGUACCCAAUGAACACAGUCCGCCAAUUUCUCAGCAAAAACCCCAAACAAGAAGACAAAACAUGCCCAGAAACCCUAGCCACUCUCCCCUACAUCAAAGACAUCUCGGAAAUGACUGCCAGACUACUCAGACCCCUUGGUAUCAUGGUAUCCCACAAACCCACUAACACACUAAAACAACAGCAAAUGAACUUGAAAGACUCUAUCCAAACAACAAGCAAAACUAAUUUCAUUUACAAAAUACUGUGCAAGGACUGUAACAAACACUACAUUGGACAAACAGGCAGAAAACUAGCCACCAGGAUACAUGAACACCAACUAGCCACAAAAAGACAUGACCCUCUCUCACUAGUAUCCUCACAUAAAGAUGAGGAAGGAGAUCACUUUGACUGGGACAACACAUCCAUCCUAGGACAAGCCAAGCAAAUACACGCACGAGAAUUCUGAGAAGCGUGGCAUUCCAACUGGAACUCUAUCAACAAACACAUCAAUCACCCCCUGAGAAAAGGAACAGGAAGUGACUUCACCACAGGAAAUAAUAUCAUCACAGGAAAUGACAUCACCAACGAAAGAAACCCAAACAUGUAAAUAGAAUUUACAUGCAAGAAUUUUCAGCAUUGCUUCGCCUGAGGCCCACUGAAGAUGUUACCUAGUAGGGGAACGAAAUGUCGAGAAAUGAACCUUUCGGCUCAGCGAGCAAACUUACAUCCAAAACCUCAACCUGAGCUACAAAUCUUCUCAAAGCUCACUAACAGAAAUAGUACGAUUGGCCUCAGUCUCCUAGUAUCCUGUCAGGGGUGUCGCCAGUUUUUAAUGCACGUGUGAUGUUGGUAGAUGGCAGGAUUGGGCUCAGAUAUAGUAACUCUUCAACCCUCUGAGCAGAAUAAACUGUGUCUGAAGUCAGAUCCAUUCAAGCAAGAUAUAAGAGAAUGACUUGGCUCCCUUAGUCUGAACAUAGCAAGAACGCACACAGCUUUGAU